UACAAUAGUUUAAGCUUGAACAACGUGUUAACGGUGAAAUGCGUGUUAAACGUGCAAAAUUUGUUUUAUUUUUUUUUUUUGUUAAACGAUAACGUGUUGAGAAAAUAAAAACAAAAAAUUUUACACAAAAAAGUAUCUAUGAGAUUAAUCCAAGUGAAAUGUAAAUUGUGAAAUUAUAUAAAAAAAAAAACAUAAUAAUCAUUUAUCUUGGUUUUUUAAUCAAUAAAGUACAAAAAGAUGGUAACAACAAUUCUAAGAAAUUUUGUAAAUAAAUUAUAACAAAAACAUAAAAUUAAAACGAAUAAAUAAGAAAAGAAAAAAAAACAAGAAAAAUUAAAUAAAUAAAUGAAAAAAAAGAAAACCGGUAAAAAUGUAUCUACAAUUACCCAAUAUGGUGUUAAGAAAUACAAGAUGAACAGAGAAAAAAACAGCAGCAAAAGUAAUAACGAUCUAGAGAGAAAUAAAAAAAAUAAAUUAAAUUUCCUUUAAAGAGUAACAAGAAUUUAAUGAUUUUCAAAUUGCUUGUUAAAACUUGAAUAAAAAAGUGAAAAAAAGAAGAGAAAUACAAGAAAACUACCAAGUAGCCACAGCAAACAUCAACUAACAGAUACUUGCUUACAGCAGCAGAAGCAGCCGCAGCCAACUGGCAACAAAACAAACAUGACAAUUGUCAACAGCAACAAAUGUAAUGACACCAACAACAGAGGCAAUGAUCUCUUAACAGUCAACAACAAACAACAACAAAAUGUAACAAUUUAGUUAAAACUAAAAUAACAACAGCAACAACAACAAAAGUAAAUGAUUCACAUUUUUUUGUAAA